GGAUUGAAGUUUUCGGAUGGAUUUCCUAUAUGACUGAGUGGCGGACGGGUGAGUAACGCGUGGGGAACCUGCCCUAUACAGGGGGAUAACAGCUGGAAACGGCUGCUAAUACCGCAUAAGCGCACAGAAUCGCAUGAUUCAGUGUGAAAAGCCCUGGCAGUAUAGGAUGGUCCCGCGUCUGAUUAGCUGGUUGGUGAGGUAACGGCUCACCAAGGCGACGAUCAGUAGCCGGCUUGAGAGAGUGAACGGCCACAUUGGGACUGAGACACGGCCCAAACUCCUACGGGAGGCAGCAGUGGGGAAUAUUGCACAAUGGGGGAAACCCUGAUGCAGCGACGCCGCGUGAGUGAAGAAGUAUUUCGGUAUGUAAAGCUCUAUCAGCAGGGAAGAAAACAGACGGUACCUGACUAAGAAGCCCCGGCUAACUACGUGCCAGCAGCCGCGGUAAUACGUAGGGGGCAAGCGUUAUCCGGAAUUACUGGGUGUAAAGGGUGCGUAGGUGGCAUGGUAAGUCAGAAGUGAAAGCCCGGGGCUUAACCCCGGGACUGCUUUUGAAACUGUCAUGCUGGAGUGCAGGAGAGGUAAGCGGAAUUCCUAGUGUAGCGGUGAAAUGCGUAGAUAUUAGGAGGAACACCAGUGGCGAAGGCGGCUUACUGGACUGUCACUGACACUGAUGCACGAAA
rnacentral:rRNA from 1 species